rnacentral:rRNA from 1 species
GCAAGUCGAACGAUGAUCUCCAGCUUGCUGGGGGGAUUAGUGGCGAACGGGUGAGUAACACGUGAGUAACCUGCCCUUGACUCUGGGAUAAGCCUGGGAAACCGGGUCUAAUACUGGAUACGACCUUCUGGCGCAUGCCAUGUUGGUGGAAAGCUUUUGUGGUUUUGGAUGGACUCGCGGCCUAUCAGCUUGUUGGUGGGGUAAUGGCCUACCAAGGCGACGACGGGUAGCCGGCCUGAGAGGGUGACCGGCCACACUGGGACUGAGACACGGCCCAGACUCCUACGGGAGGCAGCAGUGGGGAAUAUUGCACAAUGGGCGCAAGCCUGAUGCAGCGACGCCGCGUGAGGGAUGAAGGCCUUCGGGUUGUAAACCUCUUUCAGUAGGGAAGAAGCCGCUCCUUUGGGGGUGGUGACGGUACCUGCAGAAGAAGCGCCGGCUAACUACGUGCCAGCAGCCGCGGUAAUACGUAGGGCGCAAGCGUUAUCCGGAAUUAUUGGGCGUAAAGAGCUCGUAGGCGGUUUGUCGCGUCUGCCGUGAAAGUCCGGGGCUUAACUCCGGAUCUGCGGUGGGUACGGGCAGACUAGAGUGCAGUAGGGGAGACUGGAAUUCCUGGUGUAGCGGUGAAAUGCGCAGAUAUCAGGAGGAACACCGAUGGCGAAGGCAGGUCUCUGGGCUGUAACUGACGCUGAGGAGCGAAAGCAUGGGGAGCGAACAGGAUUAGAUACCCUGGUAGUCCAUGCCGUAAACGUUGGGCACUAGGUGUGGGGGACAUUCCACGUUUU